CACGUAGGGGGCUAGCGUUGUCCGGAAUCAUUGGGCGUAAAGCGCGUGUAGGCGGCCAGAUAAGUCCGGUGUGAAAGUCAAAGGCUCAACCUUUGAAUGCCGCUGGAAACUGUCUGGCUAGAGUCCGGAAGAGGCGAGUGGAAUUCCUGGUGUAGCGGUGGAAUGCGCAGAUAUCAGGAGGAACACCAAUAGCGAAGGCAGCUCGCUGGGACGUUACUGACACUGAGGCGCGAAAGCGUGGGGAGCGAACAGG
rnacentral:rRNA from 1 species